rnacentral:rRNA from 1 species
UAGCAAACUGGCGGCGUGCCUAAUAAUGCAAGUAGAACGCUGACCUCUGGUGCUUGCACUAGAGUGAUGAGUUGCGAACGGGUGAGUAACGCGUAGGUAACCUACCUUUAAGCGGGGGAUAACUAUUGGAAACGAUAGCUAAUACCGCAUAAUAACUUUUAACACAUGUUAGGAGUUUGAAAGGGGCAACUGCUCCACUUAGAGAUGGACCUGCGUUGUAUUAGCUAGUUGGUAGGGUAAAGGCCUACCAAGGCGACGAUACAUAGCCGACCUGAGAGGGUGAUCGGCCACACUGGGACUGAGACACGGCCCAGACUCCUACGGGAGGCAGCAGUAGGGAAUCUUCGGCAAUGGGGGCAACCCUGACCGAGCAACGCCGCGUGAGUGAAGAAGGUUUUCGGAUCGUAAAGCUCUGUUGUAAGAGAAGGAUGUUGUGUAGAGUGGAAAGUUACACAAGUGACGGUAUCUUACCAGAAAGGGACGGCUAACUACGUGCCAGCAGCCGCGGUAAU